rnacentral:rRNA from 1 species
GACGAACGCUGGCGGCGUGCUUAACACAUGCAAGUCGAACGGAAAGGCCCUGCUUUUGUGGGGUGCUCGAGUGGCGAACGGGUGAGUAACACGUGAGUAACCUGCCCUUGACUUUGGGAUAACUUCAGGAAACUGGGGCUAAUCCCGGAUAGGAGCUCCUGCUGCAUGGUGGGGGUUGGAAAGUUUCGGCGGUUGGGGAUGGACUCGCGGCUUAUCAGCUUGUUGGUGGGGUAGUGGCUUACCAAGGCUUUGACGGGUAGCCGGCCUGAGAGGGUGACCGGCCACAUUGGGACUGAGAUACGGCCCAGACUCCUACGGGAGGCAGCAGUGGGGAAUAUUGCACAAUGGGCGGAAGCCUGAUGCAGCAACGCCGCGUGCGGGAUGACGGCCUUCGGGUUGUAAACCGCUUUCGCCUGUGACGAAGCGUGAGUGACGGUAAUGGGUAAAGAAGCACCGGCUAACUACGU